CACGACAUUCCUUUUUCUUAUUCAAUCACAAUCUCUUGUAAUCCUUUCCAAACAUAUGUUUCGAAUCACAAUAUUAGCCUUUCUAUGCAAACGUAUACGAUCAUAAUCAAACUUAGAGCCAACCCAAAAUCACUGCCGCCACGUCGCUAAGGAGUUGUUCCGCCGCUGGCUCCAAAUCAGGUCACGUUAUCGUAGUUUCUGCAGCCGCCGAACAUCGUGGAACACGCAGGAGUAUUGGAGGAGCCUACGAGUCUGUGAUAUUUUUAUUUUGACCAGCCUUGAGCCACAUAUACCCAGACAAGAAUUUGAAUCCCUCGUACAUAAAUCUGCCUCCUUUGAAGACUCGAUCAGUUUGGUUUGUUUGAAAACGGGGGCCUCAAUCUCAUCAAAUAUUCGGAUAUACAUCUCGUUCGACCAACUGUGAUUACUUUUCUUCCCAGGU